rnacentral:tRNA from 1 species
GCCCGGUUAGCUCAAUCGGUAGAGUAAGUUAAACCACCUUCACAAGAUGUGACGGAUCAGUUAACUAACAAGUACACACAGGCGUGAGACUCUUAAUCUCAAGGUUGCGGGUUCGACCCCCGCAUCGGGCU